UACAGAGGGGGCAAGCGUUGUUCGGAAUUACUGGGCGUAAAGGGCGCGUAGGCGGCCUGCUAAGUCGGAUGUGAAAUCCCUCGGCUCAACCGAGGAACUGCAUCCGAUACUGGCGGGCUUGAAUCCGGGAGAGGGAUGUGGAAUUCCAGGUGUAGCGGUGAAAUGCGUAGAGAUCUGGAGGAACACCGAUGGCGAAGGCAGCCUUCUGGGCCAACACUGACGCUCAUGCACGAAAGCGUGGGGAGCAAACAGG
rnacentral:rRNA from 1 species